CGCCCCGCUGCAGCCACGCCUCCCUCUCUUCUCUCCCACCUGCUCCCCAUUCUGCGAUGAUGCUGAAAUCCAGACGCCCGCAGACCCAGGCGGUGGCAGAACUCCUGGGGGCCGGUGGAGAAGGAAGCAGCUGGCCAGCCAGGCUCAUUCUCCGUGAGGCGGCACCCAAGGGUCUUGUUCCAUCACCCAGGCUGGAGUACAGUGGUAUGAUCACGGCUCACUGCAACCUCAACCUCCUGGGAUCAAACAGUCUUCCCACCUCAGCCCCCCAAGUAGCUGGGACUACAGUCGUGCACCACCAGCAAAUUAUUUUUAAAUGCUAGAUAACCAGAUAUCACAAUGCAUCUCACACCACAUGUGUACAUGUGUGCACACACACUGUACUGCAGUAUUUUUGCUAAGGACACUGUCCAAUCCAGGGACCCCACAGCUUGGUGUACCCUCUAACUUCCUGCUCCACUUUUUGCUUUGAUGCUAACAAGGAUAACACUACUAGUGGCCAACCCUAUGCUGGAAGCUGCCAGGCCCUUUAUCUGCAGGAUCCUCACUGACCCUGCCAGCUUGGGAUGAUUCUCCACCCCUGACAGAUGAGGAUACUGAGGCUCAGAGGGCAGGAGUUUUGGGGGAACGGAAUGAAUGACCCCAUGACAUGAGCAUGGAGGGAAUGUUAUCCCCAUGUGCUGGGUCGGCCACCCCAGCCAAGGCACCUGCCGGAGAGAAGCACAGAGACGCUGCUGGGCUGGAGGAAUGGUGGCUGCCACCAGGAACAGCCCAGUGCCCAGGUGUCUCCGGAGAACGGAGCCAGCCCCUUUCCUCGGACCAGGCACAUAGUAGGUGCUUGGCAAAUCACUUCCCUGGUGUGUAGUGAAAAGUAGGUUCUUACCAGCUGUAUAACCUUAGGUCAGCCUCAGUUUUCCCAUUUGUACUUGAUCUACUGAUACCCCUAACUAUAAAUCUGCUGUGAGGGUUAAAUGAGAUAAUGUCUAUCAAGUGCUUAGCACACUGCUGGGCACAUGAUAAUAUCUCAAUAAACAUGAGUCAAUAAUAAAUGAUAAUUGAUUAUGUCCUUCAUGAAGCUAAAACACCAAUUCACGGUUCAUUUCUUUUCCUCAAAAACAUGCCAUGGCUCCCGAGUGCCUCUAGGUUUAGGUCCAAAGUACCUUUGUGCCUCCUCUCCCCUUUGCCAAGCCCUGCUGCU
rnacentral:lncRNA from 10 species